GGCUGUGGUUGCCCGGCGGCGCUCCGGGAUCGCUGCCUCGCAGCACCGUGAUGUGCAAGACCUCCUGACUGGAUGCUAACUGAUGUGGAUCAUGGAAAGAAAGGAAAUCCAGGGUCCCUUCCUGUCUUUUAGAAUACAAGGACUGCAGCCUGGUGAAUCUGUUUGGAAAAACAGUCCUAUAAAAGGGCUUCAUAGAAGGGCAAACUCAGCCAUCAGAGGAGCCACCACACAAACAAAAGGGGAAUUGGUGAGCUUCUGGAGAAGGCAUGGCAAACUGAAGAUGACUGCAAAAACUGAUGACCACAGCAAAGACCAAAGAACCAGUGAGUAGACUGGUUUCUUGGAAUGAAAUAAGGAGAAGACAGGGGAUCACUCUCAUGUGCUCCAGAUGGCUGUUUCUCAUGAGGAGACCACAGGACAAUAGUUUUCUGUGGGUUGGAGUGCCAUGAGACAAUGGGAAUAAUCAUCUUGCCGGCAGCUGCAGCAUAGACUUUUAAAGGAUGAUAGAUUCACAAACUACACUUUUCACUCACUUUCAGAAAUGGCUAAUUAACUACUUUUAAACUAUUAGAGAUCUUCAGAAUGACAAGUUUGAAAAUGCUGGAGGAGACUGCCUUUGAUCAUGAACAAAAGAAAAUUUUAAUUAUAAGGAUAAGAAUGUAAGAAGACUGAAAUAAACAGCAAAAAGCUAAUUCUGAUCUUAGAAAGUUAUAAACCAAGGGUGUCAAACUCAAGACCCGUUGGCCAGAUGCGGCCUGCAAUGUGGUUGGAUCUGGCCCAUGGGGCCGUCCUGGUCUACUGAAUGUGAAGAGGAAAGCUCAGGCCAGUAUAGCUUCAGCCCGGUCUA